CCCAUCAGAACUCCACAGUUAAGCGUCCUUGGGCGAGAGUAGUACUAGGAUGGCUGACCUCCUGGGAAGUCCUCGUGUUGCGCCCU
rfam:Gossypium arboreum cultivar AKA8401 contig_315715_1, whole genome shotgun sequence.